rnacentral:tRNA from 1 species
GGAGAGGUAGCAAAGCGGUCAAAUGUGGCCGACUGUAAAUCGGCUGACUUCGGUCUUCGGUGGUUCGAAUCCACCCCUCUCCA